ensembl:lncRNA
ACAAUGGUCACCAGUACACACCUACACAUACACAAUGGUCACCAGUACACACUUACACAUACACAAUGGUCACCAGUACACACCUACACAUACACAAUGGUCACCAGUACACACCUACACAUACACAAUGGUCACCAGUACACACCUACACAUACACAACGGUCACCAGUACACACCUACACAUACACAACGGUCACCAGUACACACCUACACAUACACAACGGUCACCAGUACACACCUACACAUACACAACGGUCACCAGUACACACCUACACAUACACAACGGUCACCAGUACACACCUACACAUACACAACUGGAUUGCGGCACACUCUCCCUGCCACCCUAUGACAACCAUGCUGUCCCUAAGAGGCAACACCACCUAAUGCCAGGCCUGCUUCAUCAUGCCCAGUGUGAGUGGGUUCAGUCAUUCACUUUAGCUUUUUCUUCAGUGGGGCAGAUCUUGGUAGUCCUACCACAGCAUGGCAGGGUAUUGAACCGUGGUGAGCCGAGUUUGUUUCACUUUUUAUUGAUUUGGUUCUGAUUCAGUUGGCUUUGGUUUUCUAUUUCAAAAUGAACAGUUAGAUGUUUGAGCCGCGGACAAACGAGGUACAGUAACUAGGCAACCAUUCAGAGUAAACACAGAAUAAUUAUCUAAUUAUUAUCUAAUAUGACGUCGUAACGGGCAAGCUCUCUCUCUCGACUGCCUCAGUACCAUACAUUAUGACAGUUACAUAAUAAUGUGCAAAUAUGAGAAAAAAAAACUUAGCAGUGACUAACUCCUGCAAAAGUGAGGUACAACUAUUCAUACCAAACUAACUCAUAGGCCAAAUACCAGUCUACCUUUCAACAUAUCGAACAGACGUCUUCAUUUGUAUUAAAGGAAAUAUUCAACAUUGUGUUUGUUCAGAUAGCAAGCAAAAGCCCCUUUUCCCUGUAUCUCCUCCCCCUUCUUGUGUCCUCCUCUCCUCCACUUCUCCUCUGUCCUGGAGGACAUGGGCCCUUGGAACACGCCUGAGGUCUACCUGGCGUAAGGUCUACAUGGCCUGAGGUCUACCUGGCCUAAGGUCUACAUGGCCUGAGGUCUACCUGGCCUGAGGACUACCUGCCCUGAGGUCUACAUGGCCUGAGGACUACCUGCCCUGAGGUCUACCUGGCCUGAGGUCUACCUGCCCUGAGGACUACCUGGCCUGAGGACUACCUGCCCUGAGGUCUACAUGGCCUGAGGUCUACCUGCCCUGAGGACUACCUGGCCUGAGGACUACCUGCCCUGAGGUCUACAUGGCCUGAGGUCUACCUGGACUGAGGUCUACCUGGCCUGAGGUCUACCCGGCCUGAGGUCUACCUGCCCUGAGGACUACCUGGCCUGAGGACUACCUGGCCUGAGGACUACCUGGCCUGAGGACUACCUGCCCUGAGGUCUACCUGGCCUGAGGUCUACAUGGCCUGAGGUUUACCUGCCCUGAGGACUACCUGGCCUGAGGACUACCUGGCCUGAGGUCUACCUGGCCUGAGGACUUCUAGCUGUCUCUGUUCACCUAAUUAUGCUCCCGUUCCAAUUUCUGCUGUUCUGCCUGUGGCUACAGCACUUCUCUCUCUCAUUCUCCCUCUCUCUCUUUCAUUCUCCAUCUCUCUCUCUCUGUUCCUCUCCCCCCCACCCUCUCUAGCAGACCUGCUGUCUCAAUCUCUGAAUGCCCUGCUAUAAAAAGCCAAAUGACAUUUACUCAUGUGUUGCCGACUGGUUACACCCCCUGCUUGUAGGAUGUUUAACAUCUUGAAGUGCAAUCAGGAGUUGGCUAUUUUACUUACUCAAACAUGUCUUGGAAGCCCUGAAGGCAGAAAUGAAUGUGAUUGGCCAAUGUGCUUUACUGGUCAUGUACUCUUUCAAUCCCCAUGGCCCCCUGACCCCCCCAUAGCCCAACCCCACGGCCACCCCACAGGUUUUGGUGUGAAUGGUGUUGGUGUGAAUAGUGUUGGUGUGAAUGGUGUUGGUGUUAAUGGUGUUGCUGUUAAUGGUGUUGGUGUGAAUGGUGUUGGUGUGAAUGGUGUGGGGGCGAAUGGUUUUGGUGUGAAUAGUGUUGGUGUGAAUGGUGUUGGUGUGAAUUGUGUUGGUGCACAUGAUG